rnacentral:rRNA from 1 species
AGUGAACGCUGGCGGUAUGCCUAACACAUGCAAGUCGAACGGCAGCACAGUAAGAGCUUGCUCUUACGAGUGGCGAGUGGCGGACGGGUGAGGAAUACAUCGGAAUCUACUUUUUCGUGGGGGAUAACGUAGGGAAACUUACGCUAAUACCGCAUACGAGCUACGGGUGAAAGCAGGGGAUCUUCGGACCUUGCGCGAUUGAAUGAGCCGAUGUCGGAUUAGCUAGUUGGCGGGGUAAAGGCCCACCAAGGCGACGAUCCGUAGCUGGUCUGAGAGGAUGAUCAGCCACACGGGAACUGAGACACGGUCCAGACUCCUACGGGAGGCAGCAGUGGGGAAUAUUGGACAAAGGGGGCAAGCCUGAUCCAGCCAUACCGCGUGGGUGAAGAAGGCCUUCGGGUUGUAAAGCCCUUUUGUUGGGAAAGAAAAGCAGCAGGUUAAUACCCCGCUGUUCUGACGGUACCCAAAGAAUAAGCACCGGCUAACUUCGUG